AGAGCGAACGCUGGCGGCAGGCUUAACACAUGCAAGUCGAGCGGGCGUAGCAAUACGUCAGCGGCAGACGGGUGAGUAACGCGUGGGAACAUACCUUUUGGUUCGGAACAACACAGGGAAACUUGUGCUAAUACCGGAUAAGCCCUUACGGGGAAAGAUUUAUCGCCGAAAGAUUGGCCCGCGUCUGAUUAGCUAGUUGGUGAGGUAACGGCUCACCAAGGCGACGAUCAGUAGCUGGUCUGAGAGGAUGAUCAGCCACAUUGGGACUGAGACACGGCCCAAACUCCUACGGGAGGCAGCAGUGGGAAUAUUGGACAAUGGGCGCAAGCCUGAUCCAGCCAUGCCGCGUAAGUGAUGAAGGCCCUAGGGUUGUAAAGCUCUUUUGUGCGGGAAGAUAAUGACGGUACCGCAAGAAUAAGCCCGGCUAACUUCGCGCCAGCAGCCGC
rnacentral:rRNA from 1 species